rnacentral:rRNA from 2 species
CAUGCAAGUCGAACGCGUUGGCCCAAUUGAUUGAUGGUGCUUGCACCUGAUUGAUUUUGGUCGNCAACGAGUGGCGGACGGGUGAGUAACACGUAGGUAACCUGCCCAGAAGCGGGGGACAACAUUUGGAAACAGAUGCUAAUACCGCAUAACAACGUUGUUCGCAUGAACAACGCUUAAAAGAUGGCUUCUCGCUAUCACUUCUGGAUGGACCUGCGGUGCAUUAGCUUGUUGGUGGGGUAAUGGCCUACCAAGGCGAUGAUGCAUAGCCGAGUUGAGAGACUGAUCGGCCACAAUGGGACUGAGACACGGCCCNUACUCCUACGGGAGGCAGCAGUAGGGAAUCUUCCACAAUGGGCGCAAGCCUGAUGGAGCAACACCGCGUGAGUGAAGAAGGGUUUCGGCUCGUAAAGCUCUGUUGUUAAAGAAGAACACGUAUGAGAGUAACUGUUCAUACGUUGACGGUAUUUAACCAGAAAGUCACGGCUAACUACGUGCCAGCAGCCGCGGUAAUACGUAGGUGGCAAGCGUUAUCCGGAUUUAUUGGGCGUAAAGAGAGUGCAGGCGGUUUUCUAAGUCUGAUGUGAAAGCCUUCGGCUUAACCGGAGAAGUGCAUCGGAAACUGGAUAACUUGAGUGCAGAAGAGGGUAGUGGAACUCCNUGUGUAGCGGUGGAAUGCGUAGAUAUAUGGAAGAACACCAGUGGCGAAGGCGGCUACCUGGUCUGCAACUGACGCUGAGACUCGAAAGCAUGGGUAGCGAACAGGAUUAGAUACCCUGGUAGUCCAUGCCGUAAACGAUGAGUGCUAGGUGUUGGAGGGUUUCCGCCCUUCAGUGCCGGAGCUAACGCAUUAAGCACUCCGCCUGGGGAGUACGACCGCAAGGUUGAAACUCAAAGGAAUUGACGGGGG